AACCCGUCUAAUACUAAAGGCCGUUAAUUGGGUGUUUAGCAAUGAAGCCUUGCUGCUGGCUGCCGACUUUUCAGCCGACAAACGGGUAUGAAACCCUAACGACUUCGAAGCUAAACAAGAUCAUUGAUCUGAAUUUGAUCCUCCUCUUAUCCUCAUUGCAAUUUGACUGUAUUUGAGCAGUGGGUUGCCGACGCUUGGUGUUGCAUAUGCUGAGCAGAAAUAUUGACGGACCGUGUAGCGGAUAUUUCUGGUUCAUCUGAUCUCAUCUAUUGCAAUAAUAGGUGCCUGAAUGAAUGGAAAUGAGGAUUUGAGGGAGAUCCUUCAGCUGAUUGAUGAUUUGUGUCUGAAAGCGAAAGUUGAAUAUUGGAGAGAGAUGAAAUGUGGCAGACAGAGGACAACUUGCAAGAUAUCAUAUCUAUUAUCUUAAUAUACCUUUUCACUUCUCAGAUGAUAAAUGCGUUCACACCUCAAUUGUGGAAAUAAAACAAGUCAUUACUUUUCUAAUUGAAUGGUAUGUGGUCCAUACACAUACUAUAGAAGAUAAUCACAUAUAUAUAUAUACAGACC
rnacentral:sRNA from 2 species